GAUCUCACCAGAGAGCCUCUUCACACUUGUUUCAAGUCCUGAAAGAGAAAAAAAGUAGCAUCAAAAGAGCUUCCCUGUCCCUAGGUCUGCCCAAAGAAAUGCCUUGGGAAAACCAAAAACCCAAAAAAGCCAACAAACAAACAAACAAAAAACCUAAACACAACAAAACAAAACAAAAAGAGAGAGAGAGAGAAUGCAGUUAAGGCAGAAGAUUCUACACUCAUAACCCUAAUGGACCUGAUCAGUAUAGCUAUGUCAUGUUUCUGUAGAAGUCCUAAGCAUCUGAGAUGACAAGGAGACACACAAAAUUCUUGGACCAAUCCCUGUUAUCAAUGGCAAGUUUUCUGUGGUGAAAGGUGAAGAGGAACAAAAGAAUAAAAAGUCUUAAGCGAGCACAUUUGAAAUGAGCGAUGACUGUGUCCAGGCCACAUAAACAGGAAAACAAAGCCUGCUACAGAAUGACCCAUUAAAGGAGCUCAAUUUCUAGGUCACUGGAGAGAGAGACACACGACGCAAACAGGGGAAGUGCACAGAGAGGGAGACACAGAAUUCAAAGUAGGCUCCAGGCUCUGAGCUGUCAGCACACAGCCCUACACAGGGCUUGAACUCAUGGACCGCGAGAUCAUGACCUGAGCUGAAGUCCAAUGCUUAACCAACUGAGCCACCCAAGUGCCCCUCUAGGUAUAAGAUUCUUAAUUUAAAAAGUAACUGCAUAAAUCUCGUGAUGCUAGGAAAUACUUGGUUACACUGAAGCUAUAUUUAGCCCUGAAAAGAAAUUCAGUGUUCUCUCUUGGUUAAAUUUUGAAGAAUCACUCAUUAGACCUAAUUGUUCUUCCAGAACGUCUGGCUGUUAGAGGUAAUUUAGUAGGACACUAAAUAAAAUAUACUCACAGA